GCCACCGGCGGAGCCGGCUCACUCGGCGCCGGUGCGGGCGGCGCGAGGUCGAUCGGUUCGAGGUCGAGCGAUGGCGC
rnacentral:tRNA from 1 species